rnacentral:rRNA from 1 species
GGAAUAUUGGUCAAUGGGCGCAAGCCUGAACCAGCCAUGCCGCGUGCAGGAUGACGGUCCUAUGGAUUGUCAACUGCUCUUGUACGAGAAGAAACACUACUUCGUGAAGUAUCUUGACGGUAUCGUAAGAAUACGGAUCGGCUAACUCCGUGCCCGCAGCCGCGGUAAUACGGAGGAUCCAAGCGUUAUCCGGAAUCAUUGGGUUUAAAGGGUCCGUAGGCGGUCUUAUAAGUCAGUGGUGAAAUCUCCCCGCUCAACGGGGAAGCUGCCAUUGAUACUGUAGGACUUGAAUAAUUAGGAAGUAACUAGAAUAUGUAGCGUAGCGGUGAAAUGCUUAGAGAUUACAUGGAAUACCAAUUGCGAAGGCAGGUUACUACUAAUUCAUUGACGCUGAUGGACGAAAGCGUGGGUAGCGAAC